rnacentral:rRNA from 1 species
AUUGAACGCUGGCGGCAUGCCUUACACAUGCCAGUCGAACGGUAACAGGUCUUCGGAUGCUGCCGAGUGGCGAACGGGUGAGUAAUACAUCGGAACGUGCCCAGACGUGGGGGAUAACGAGGCGAAAGCUUUGCUAAUACCGCAUACGAUCUAAGGAUGAAAGCAGGGGACCGCAAGGCCUUGCGCGUUUGGAGCGGCCGAUGGCAGAUUAGGUAGUUGGUGGGAUAAAAGCUUACCAAGCCGACGAUCUGUAGCUGGUCUGAGAGGACGACCAGCCACACUGGGACUGAGACACGGCCCAGACUCCUACGGGAGGCAGCAGUGGGGAAUUUUGGACAAUGGGCGAAAGCCUGAUCCAGCAAUGCCGCGUGCAGGAUGAAGGCCUUCGGGUUGUAAACUGCUUUUGUACGGAACGAAAAGGCUCUGGCUAAUACCUGGGGCACAUGACGGUACCGUAAGAAUAAGCACCGGCUAACUACGUG